GAUGAACGCUGGCGGCGUGCCUAAUACAUGCAAGUCGAGCGAACAGACGAGGAGCUUGCUCCUCUGACGUUAGCGGCGGACGGGUGAGUAACACGUGGAUAACCUACUUAUAAGACUGGGAUAACUUCGGGAAACCGGAGCUAAUACCGGAUAAUAUAUUAAACCGCAUGGUUUAAUAGUGAAAGACGGUUUUGCUGUCACUUAUAGAUGGAUCCGCGCCGCAUUAGCUAGUUGGUAAGGUAACGGCUUACCAAGGCAACGAUGCGUAGCCGACCUGAGAGGGUGAUCGGCCACACUGGAACUGAGACACGGCCCAGACUCCUACGGGAGGCAGCAGUAGGGAAUCUUCCGCAAUGGGCGAAAGCCUGACGGAGCAACGCCGCGUGAGUGAUGAAGGUCUUCGGAUCGUAAAACUCUGUUAUUAGGGAAGAACAAAUGUGUAAGUAACUAUGCACGUCUUGACGGUACCUAAUCAGAAAGCCACGGCUAACUACGUG
rnacentral:rRNA from 1 species